UGAGAUCAGCGCGUGCUUGCCAAUUCUUAUCAGAACAAGGUUAUGAGGUUAUCAAUGUACAAGGUGGCAUGAUGGCCUUUGAAGAACUUUAAACAGUACAAUUUUCUCCUACUUGGUGUGGACUGGGUAGGAGAAUUUUAU
rfam:Streptococcus mitis SK321 contig11, whole genome shotgun sequence.